rnacentral:rRNA from 1 species
UGGGGGAAUAUUGCACAAUGGGCGAAAGCCUGAUGCAGCCAUGCCGCGUGUGUGAAGAAGGCCUUCGGGUUGUAAAGCACUUUCAGCGAGGAGGAAGGGUAGUGUGUUAAUAGCACAUUGCAUUGACGUUACUCGCAGAAGAAGCACCGGCUAACUCCGUGCCAGCAGCCGCGGUAAUACGGAGGGUGCAAGCGUUAAUCGGAAUUACUGGGCGUAAAGCGCACGCAGGCGGUUUGUUAAGUCAGAUGUGAAUCCCCGCGCUUAACGUGGGAACUGCAUUUGAAACUGGCAAGCUAGAGUCUUGUAGAGGGGGGUAGAAUUCCCAGGUGUAGCGGU